rnacentral:tRNA from 1 species
GAGGGUAUAGUUCAGUGGUAGAGUGCAUGCUUAGCAUGCAGGAGGUCCUGGGUUCAAUCCCCAGUACCUCCA